rnacentral:rRNA from 1 species
AGUGAACGCUGGCGGUAGGCCUAACACAUGCAAGUCGAACGGCAGCACAGUAAGAGCUUGCUCUUACGGGUGGCGAGUGGCGGACGGGUGAGGAAUACAUCGGAAUCUACUUUUUCGUGGGGGAUAACGUAGGGAAACUUACGCUAAUACCGCAUACGACCUACGGGUGAAAGCAGGGGAUCUUCGGACCUUGCGCGAUUGAAUGAGUCGAUGUCGGAUUAGCUAGUUGGCGGGGUAAAGGCCCACCAAGGCGACGAUCCGUAGCUGGUCUGAGAGGAUGAUCGGCCACAUGGGAACUGGAACACGGUCCAGACUCCUACGGGAGGCAGCAGUGGGGAAUAUUGGACAAUGGGGGCAAGCCUGACCCAGCCAUCCCGCGUGGGUGAAGAAGGCUUUCGGGUUGUAAAGCCCUUUUGUUGGGAAAGAAAAGCAGCAGGUUAAUACCCCGCUGUUCUGACGGUACCCAAAGAAUAAGCACCGGCUAACUUCGUG